GAUUGCAUCCCAUGAUGUGCCCAGGUUUUGAGAUGCUCCUCGUGAAUGAAAAUAGGACUGUCUGGUUCCUCCAUCCAUAGCAAGGGAGCCUAGACAGAAAUAACUUCUGUGCAUUUCUCCAGCUACAUUUAGGUAAGUGAUGCCUUUUCUUCGUUUUCUUUAAGAUGUCCUAUAAAACCCUAUUGAUGUAGCUCAGUUGUUUGAAAUUUAUGAUGCUUUAGAUAGGCUUUGGCCUGAGAUUGCCUUGAGGAAUGGUGUAGGUACACAAAUUAAGAAUAAAAAUAAGAUUGCAAAAAAUUGCACCACUUAAGGGAAUUAGUUGCUUUUUUCAUUAUCUUGAAUAAUUUGUUCUUAAAUGCAUCAGAGGGACCAAAUCAUAGCUGACUGAUCGGCUCGUUAUAAAUAAUUCUCACCUAUUCCUAAAAGCGGGGGCCUGUUGUGCACUUGCUACCUCCGUUUAGAGAAUAUUGCACUUCAAGCCCAUUGGAUUUGAAAGUAAUAGAAAUGGUCUUUUUAAAGCCAAUAUUCUAGAAUGAGCACUUCAUUAAAUCGAGACCCACCUUUUACCCAAAUUUAGCUAGACUUUAAUGUGCAUCACACAUCUCUAAUCUGGGCUUUUCCUAUAGCCUCUUUCAAAGGACAUAUUUGUUCAGCCUUAUCAGUGAGGUAUUCAAUCAUGCUUCCCUUGUAUCAGGCACCUCAAGGGCAGGAGCUAACACAAAUGUGCUUGGUUUUUAAUAGCUGAAAAUAUGUCUACGUGAGGUUAACUGUAUUUACCCAAUGCCAGAUACCUGAAAGAGUGUGAAAAAUUAAGGUAAUUAUUAAUGUCUCCAAAUAGCUGGAUGAUGGUGUCAUAUUUGCAAUGCAUAGAUUAUGCCAUCAUGUCAGAUUUGGGACACUUUGGGAGGUUGGGAAUGGGAUGGGGAUGGGUGGCAGUGAAUAACAUCAGACAGGGUGGAUACGUAAUUCCAAAGUUGGAAUUAGUGUCUCUAUUUUAACAGCAAUUCCUUUACUUAACAGCAAUUCUUUUCUGUUUAUCAUUUUAGGGAAAACUAGAAAAUACAGAAAUAUAUCAAGAAGAAAAAAAAUUUAAAAAUGACCCAAAAUCCCACCAACCAGAGACAGCUAUUAAUGAUUGUGGUAUAUUUAUUGAAUUUACUAAAGUCAUGCUAUACGCUAGGCACUGUGGAGGGACUGCAGAAAGACUUCAAGGACUGCACCGUCUUGUUAGAAAGAUGCCUAGACAACAUUUGAGAAACGCUGAUCAUGUCUGAUGACACAUAACUGCUAACAGUUACAUGGAAUUUUCUAUAUGCUAUAUACAAACAUACAAAUAUAUGUAUGUAUAUUUACUCAGCUCUCACAACAGCUACUACUGUUAUUAUGAAUCCUGUUUUAUAGUGAGAAAACUGAAACAUGGAGAGGUUAAGUAAUUUGCCCAAGAUCACAUAGCUACUAAGUGGUGGAACUGUGAUUAGAAUCCAGGCAUUCAGGCUCCAGAGUUCAUACUCUUCACAUACCACAUCUAUCUUGAAUAUAACAAUGUAGAGAAAAAGAAUUAUAGCAAGCAUAUGUCUAGGUAAGCAUUUUCCAGAAGUGACUGUUUUUUUGCAUUGGGUUUGUAAACUUUCAACAAUAAAGCAGGUUGGACUUUAUAUCAGUCAAAGCAGAAUAUUCUGAUGUCACCUUCCCCAAUGUUUAGGAUGUUAAUGAGAAUUGCUAAUCCAAGAGAAGAAAAUAAUCUCAUCUAAUUUGGGUAAGUCAAUUAUUUGAAAGUAGAAGAACCACCCUUCCACCUCUCUUGUUCUAAGGAACCUCUGGGGGAAGUACUGGAAAAAUAAUGCUUUCUAAUAAGCCCAAUAGGGCUUUUGAUUUGUAAUAACUAUUUUAAUAAGUAUCAGUUCAAUUCCUAUUAUUUUUAAGAAGUUCAUUGAAUGAAUUAAAGAACAAAUGAAUGAGCAAUGCUUUAGGCUAUAGGCUUUCAGAGGACGUAAUUCUAUGAAACAGACUCAGUGGUAUGCUGGCACCAGCUCCUACUUGCGUCUCUUUUCAACUUUGUGUUCAGUGACUUUGCCUUGGUAGCUUGACAUCAGCCAUGGUGGGAAUAUUUAAACUAAAUAACUGAGAAAAUGAUUCAUAUUAGAGAGCUUUCUUUUUUCCCGGGAACUAAGUGUUAAACAUUUACCAGCACACCACUGCCUAGACUUGUUAGGAAAUUCACAAGUGAGAAGAAAUUCUGUGAUUCCAGGAGAUGAAAGAGGGAAGUGUAAUGAGAAUAUCAACUUGAGUAUUUUAUCCGUUGCUUUCUUUAAUUGGGUCAUUUCAGAGGGUGGGUAGAUUUUGUUAAGACAGUUGAAAUAUUUAGGUAGGUAGAGGGGUGAGUGCAGUUGAAGAGUAAAGGCUGUUUGGGGCAGACAAAAGAAUGAUAGCACUCUUUCAAGUGCUCUGCCACCAGCAGUAAAAGUCGGGAGAAGGACCUAGCACCAGGACACGUGAUCUGUCCGGCGUAAGCGAGUGCUGAGUCAAAGGCCUGCAAUUCAGGCCCCUGCUCUGGGGCACGGUCAGUUUCAGCCAGGCCCAACUCUCUUUCCCAGGUCCAUGGCGUGGAUGGCACCCAGAAUCCAGCAGGGGAGUGCUGGUGGAUACACCUGGGAGGGCCUGGUGGAGGAUCAUUUGCGUGCAGAAAUAAGGAAAUAGACAUAUUUGAGCUGGAAGAAAAUCUUACAUGUCUGAUCCAAUUCUCUCAUUUCACAGAUAAGGAAAAGGGGCCCCAAAGAGUGAAGAGGGGAUGUCCUGAGGUCAUGAGGCUGGCUUACAGCAAGGAUCUGGACCAGACAGCAGGGUGGGACCCUCAGCUGUCCCCAUACUUGCUGCUUGAUAUUGGAUAGGUUAUUUAGGCUCUAUGUGUUUUCUCAUAAACACAUAGAGGUUAGGUAAAAAUGGUGGUGUGAGAAUGAACUAAUACAUGUAAAGAGCUUGCAUGUAGUAAGCUCUCAAUAAAUAUUAAUAAUACUGGGCACAGUGGCUCACACCUGUAAUCCCAGCACUUUGAGAGGCCAAGGCGGGUGGAUCCCUUGAGGUCAGGAGUUUGAGAACGCCCUGACAAACAUGGUGAAACCCCAUCUCUACUAAAAAUACAAAAAAUUAGCCAGGCAUGGUGGUGGGUGCCUGUAAUCCCAGCUGCUCGGGAGGCUGAGGCAAGAGAAUCACUUGAACCUGAGAGGUGGAGGUUGCUUUGAGCCCAGAUCAUGCCACUGCACUCCAGCCUAGGUGACAGAACCAGACUUCAUCUCAAAAAAAAAAAAA
rnacentral:lncRNA from 1 species